rnacentral:lncRNA from 1 species
AUUAGAGUUAAUGUUCACUUCCUGCUGUGCUUUCUGCUCAGCUUCCUUCCUGGAGCCAGGAGCCAUGUAGGAAACCAGAAGCUGGUGUUUCUCAACUAGGCUUGCAUAUUAGAAUCACCUGGGCAUCUUUCUCCUCACUACCCAGGCUCCACCCCAGAGCAAUGCAUUCAGCAUUUCUAAGCAGGGACCCAGGCAUCCGUACUUUGUGAAGUUCCCUGGCCGAUUACAAUGUCCAGUCAAGGCUGAGGGCUGCUGAUCCACAGUUUAUAGUCACACAGGCCUCAAACCUUUGCAACCUCGUGGUGUCUGCUUGGAAUAUUGCACUUAAGGCAUCAUCUGCAUCUUCGUACAGCCUGCUUCUGCAGAGCUCUGGGAGGGAGCCGGCAGCGUCCCAUACUCCUGCAUCCAUGCAGCCUCCAGCAAAGCUACUGGGACAAAGACAGACAAGGGCAGUGGAGCCUAGAAAGGCCAGUUGGGCCCCAAGGAGAGUCUCAUAAGCCUUGAGAAAGUUCCAUCCUGCCCUUGUGAAAAGUCAGGGAGGAAAAGUAGCUCCAGAGCCCCGCAGCUGCCAUUCCAAGAUUAUAUUUUGCUGCAAAGGCCCUCUCUCCUGACUCACUUAGAGGAGCUCAGGGAGACACAGUCUUCACUUGGUGGAGCCCUCUGAGCGGCCAGGAGGGUUCAUGUAAAGAUUUUUCCAUCCUACUGACAGUGGCAGAUCCGGAAGCCAUUGGUUGGGGUUGCUCCAGAUACCGUCAGACAGCAGCAGCCCCAGCCCCUGGAGCCCCACCUGUUUCACUCAGAGCAUCACUGGCACAGCCCCAGGAACAUUGGACCUUGGAGCCCUUGUACUCCUGCCAGAACUUCCCUUCAAGAAAAAGCCACGGGCCCGUGCAGACAGACAUAGGAGGCUGCCCUGCCCUUCAAUCCAGAGCUCCUGCUCUUGGCAAGGCACUCCAGGCUGCCUCUCAUUCAUUCCAAGGCCAUUGGGGUCUCUUCAAGUAUCUAAGAAAAAGGCCAGCUUUUGUGGGAAGCAAGAAUUCAGUUUAAUUGAAUAGAAUACCCAUCCUUGUCCCUCAGCCUUCCCAAAGGCAAAGCCAGUCAACAGGAAGUUCUGACAGGAAGGCACAGCUGUGCCACUCACAGUCACAGUCAGGGGGAGAGCGUGGGGAAGUGAGAGCCUGGUGUGGGGGAGCGAGGUGGGGGGGUGUGGGGAGGAUGCACAGAGAGCCCCACUGACAGCAGUGCUGGACAACAUCAAUAUUUGGAGAAGGAGAGGAUGUGUGGUUAGGUCUAUUUCAUCUGAGUUCUUUAGUCUUCCUCUUGCAGAAGGGAAAAGAUUUGGCAAGUCAGAAGAGAUCCAUUAAAGACUGACAAACUUGUCAACAAGUCUUCCUCAGACACUGGUGCAGAGGGUCAGCGAGGGGGUAGAUGGAGCAGGCGCAGGCAGGGAGGGUUGGGGGUGUCAGCCUGUAGGCACAGGGCACAGGAUGGCCUUCCUGCCCCUUGGAUUGCUGUUUCUGGGGCCCAAGCUCCACAGAGUGCUGUCAUAUCUGCUAUUGAGGCAGAGCCUGUGAACUUCGCAGCAGCCUCUGCAGCAGUGAGUAAUGAGUAAAGGUGAACUAGCUUCCAUGUUCUUCGGGAAAGUGCCAUGUGAAGGUUCAGGGCGGCUGGCAAUACCUUCGAGUGUCUGCCAAGGAGCUGCUGGCCCUUCCUGGCUCUUGGAAAUGAGGAAGAGUCUGGAAGCCAAGGGCAGUUGAUUGGGUCUGCACCUGGGUACUCUCAGACCCCAGAGACCUGGCCGGGCACCAGGUUUAUCGACAGGGAAUUUGCCACCAGCUACCUUCAUGGAAGAUGGACUCUCCUCUGUGGAGUCUGUGCUUCAGGAGUCCCUGGAAUCUGUGGAAGAGUCAUUCCAGAGCCACCUGCACAGAUGACUAGGGAAGUGACCAGGGCCUCUGGCCAUUCCUCCUUGCUACUCAGGAAAACACUGGAAUUGGCUCUGAGUUAGUCUCCCAAGGCAGCUCGAGACAAGGCCACUUCAGCAACCAGGGUACACCACUGGGCAGGGUGACCUUGUCAGCAGCCACAAACAAAGCACAGGUUCUCCUAGUGAAUAUCCUGGGGAGCUGGGGUUGGGGACCUGGGAGCUGAGGUUCUCCCUGAGCUCACGUGGCGUUGCUACAUUACUGGGACCCAUUUGUUGUCCUCGUUGUAGAGGAAGGACUGCUUCCCUGGGUGCUCGGGCUUGUAUGUGGCUGAGGAGAGAGAGAGAGAUGGUGUUAGGAGAGAAAGACCAGGAGCUAGAGAGCUUUCUACCUCAGAACUGGAAAGGCCAGGGGAACCCUGUUUCAGCCCCUCCAUCACACAAGUGUGGAGAGAAGGAGAGAAGAGAGAGGGAGAGAGAGAGAGAGGGAGGGAGAGAGAGAGGGAGGGAGAGAGAGAG